UGAGUAAGUCAGAUAAUCGCGGGUAGCAUUAGCUAUACGAGGAAAGUCGGAGCUCCAUAGAGCAGGAUGCUAGGUAACGCCUAGUGAGAGCGAUCUUAAGGAAAGUGCAACAGAAAAUAACCGCCAUAUUUAUCUAUGGUAAGGAUGAAAAGGUGAGGUAAGAGCUCACCAGCGGCUAGGUGACUAGUCGGCUGUGUAAACCCCAUCUGGAGCAAGGCCAAGUUAGGAUUAAAGAGUAUUGCUCGUACUCUCCGGUUGGUAGGCCGCUUGAGCUUAUUGGUGACAAUAAGUCUAGAAAGAUGAUUAUCUAAUACAGAACUCCGCUUACAGAUUUGCUCAAUUA
rnacentral:RNase_P_RNA from 1 species